UAGCGAGAGACGGUGCUAAAGUCGUCAUCCGUAGUGAGAGGGGCGUCCAAUAUUCUCGUAACGUCCAAGAUGUUAAGAAACUGCCAGAAUGCCUAAUAGAGCCAUCACGUGAUAUCCACGAAAAAAUGGAAGAAGUAGAAGAAACCGUGCAGCCCGGAAUUGAUUCACCCGAAAACUUACCAGGUGUUGAUCUGGAUCAUUCCACAACUAAGAUCGACGAUAACAUUCAACGCCCAAGAAGAAUAACGAAGAAGCCGAACAGAUUCAAAGACAUGAUACUAUUCAGCAUUUUUGAGUAGUUUGAGGAACACAAUGUACACCACACAGUGCAACCGCUGGCCCAUUCUCGAGAUCACAUUCAAGGAUUCAUUCUGUAUAACGGUACAAUGAAACAGCAAAAAAAAAAAAUGAUAUGAUAUUGAAGUAGAAAGACUAACAGAUUUGCUAACCAUAAUUUGAACAAUAAAUAUAUUUCGAACAAACAAAGUGGUAAAAAAAAACAAUAAAGUGAGAAAGGUGUUUAACAAGCAUAAGAAGAGAAUAUAGCGCAGAGAGUAGAAGCGAGAAGUAUUGUAGAGAAGAAACUUGUCAUGGAUAAAUCAUUAAAAUAAACGCCAUUAAAAUAUCCUGAGUUGUGACUUUGAA